rnacentral:rRNA from 1 species
UUAACCACGUUCUUGCAUGUGCUAGUAUGUCCACUAUGUUCAAUGGCGUUUGUUUGCGACGAGCCGAGUCAAUGCCGGCACCCGAGCGGCAAUUAUAGAGGACCAUGCUUUGGCCUUACCGACGGUUGCGAUCGUACAUGCCAUGAUGAAAGCUCUCAUAACGUGCGGGGCGAUUGUGACUGUGACUUUAAAUGCUACUGCUAUACAUGCCAUGAUGCAAUGAUACCAGCUUGA